GAUGAACGCUGGCGGCGUGCCUAAUACAUGCAAGUCGAGCGAACAGACGAGGAGCUUGCUCCUCUGACGUUAGCGGCGGACGGGUGAGUAACACGUGGAUAACCUACCUAUAAGACUGGGAUAACUUCGGGAAACCGGAGCUAAUACCGGAUAAUAUAUUGAACCGCAUGGUUCAAUAGUGAAAGACGGUUUUGCUGUCACUUAUAGAUGGAUCCGCGCCGCAUUAGCUAGUUGGUAAGGUAACGGCUUACCAAGGCAACGAUGCGUAGCCGACCUGAGAGGGUGAUCGGCCACACUGGAACUGGGACGCGGUCCAGACUCCUACGGGAGGCAGCAGUAGGGAAUCUUCCGCAAUGGGCGAAAGCCUGACGGGGCAACGCCGCGUGAGUGAUGAAGGUCUUCGGAUCGUAAAACUCUGUUAUUAGGGAAGAACAAAUGUGUAAGUAACUAUGCACGUCUUGGCGGUACCUAAUCAGAAAGCCACGGCUAACUACGUG
rnacentral:rRNA from 1 species